GGCUGGGUAGCUCAGUGGUAGAGCACAGGAUUCAUAUCCCUGCGGUCGUGGGUUCAAACCCCACCCCAGCCA
rnacentral:tRNA from 1 species